UAGAUUUUGUUAUUCUAUAGACUUAUACAACUAGCAAAGUUGACGAAAUGUCACAAAAUGAACAAAUGCGUUCAUUUACCUUUGUCAGCAUAUUACUAGUUUCAAUACAAGGAUAUGACGCAACGGAAACUUGUUUUUCUUGUGAUGACGUAACUGAUGCUUCAGUUUGCUUCACGAACACAAAGGUUUGCCAGCCAGAGGAGAUUUGUUACACUUCAACAACCCUCGACGAAUUAGGAGUAUUACAUCACAGCUCUGGGUGU